GCGUAGGCGAUGGAUAACAGGUUGAUAUUCCUGUACCACCUAUAAUCGUUUUAAUCGAUGGGGGGACGCAGUAGGAUAGGCGAAGCGUGCGAUUGGAUUGCACGUCUAAGCAGUAAGGCUGAGUAUUAGGCAAAUCCGGUACUCGUUAAGGCUGAGCUGUGAUGGGGAGAAGACAUUGAGUCUUCGAGUCGUUGAUUUCACACUGCCGAGAAAAGCCUCUAGAUAGAAAAUAGGUGCCCGUACCGCAAACCGACACAGGUAGUCAAGAUGAGAAUUCUAAGGUGAGCGAGCGAACUCUCGUUAAGGAACUCGGCAAAAUGACCCCGUAACUUCGGGAGAAGGGGUGCUCUUUAGGGU
rnacentral:rRNA from 1 species